GGAUGUGUUGAAACCUGCAUACAUGCACAUUAAAUGAUAUUUAAAUGAUUGCCCAUUAAAUUUGUAUUUAUUUUCUUUAUUUUACAAUGUGAGAAAAUCUUGCCCUCAAAUUUUGAUUCUUUAAACUACUUGAAUGGGAGUUAAAAAAAAAUCGCCUCUCAAAUUGCACAUGUGAUCAAAUAACUCAGACUAGUGCAAGCACCCAAUUGAGACUCCUUUACUUUACGAUCUUUAUUUAUGAGGUGGUGAUGGCAUGCAUGUCCAAGAUUAGGCUUGUCAAACUUUUCUCGUAUAAUGGAGGGAAAAUCUUUCACUAAAAUGCCAUCAUUUAUCUAUCUUUUUUGUUUUAUUAUUAUUAUUAUUAUUGUUAUGGGUUCCAAAUCUUAUUUACUUAUUCAUUCCUGAAUGAUCUAAACUAUUUCAAUGUAACAAUGAGUACAUAUUGAUUUAUUUGUUAUUUGUCUUUCUCUUAAUGAAAAUGUGAAUUUUUAUGGUUAUUAAAAAAUUAUUACAUUAAAAAAUAAAAUAAAAUAAAAGCCAUUAAAUAGCUAAAUGUAUAAUAUUAUUUCAAACAAUUAAUUAAAAUUAUGAUAAUUUAUAUAGUUCUUAGAUGCACAAUUAUUAAUCCUUGAAAUAUAUAUAUAUAUAUAUAUAUAUAUUGAUUUUUUUAAAUCAGAGAGGCAAUUAACAAAGGCUAUGUGCUAUAUAUGGUUGGAAGAGGCAAAGCCAAGUGGCUGAUAGGAUUGUAGGGCCAUGUUUUCCCACAACAGGAUCCCCUUCUUUUGAAGCCCACUGUGAAAAUGAAGAAAGGGAGAAGGCCAGAAGGAGAAGCCAGCCACAAAAAGCUGCUCACCAAAGCAGCCACAAAGGGUUUUGUAACACCAAAGUGAUACAGGACAGGGAGAUGAGUUUGGUGCCUGCAUUUUAAUACCACCCACUUUGCUAAUGGCCCCACAUUCCUCUCACAUCAACCCCUUCAAAGCUGCCUCCCCAUUUUCAAAGACCUUGUUGCUGCAACAACUUUCAAUUUUGAUCUCUCAGUGUCAUCUGAAGCUACACAAAGGUUUACCAACCCUUUGACCACCCACAUGAGCAUUUUUUUUAUUCAUUUACUCUAUGUCAAAAUUACUGGUAGGAAUUUGUUACUCUUUGAAGAUCACAUACUCCUCUCUCUUCAACAUUCCACAAUUGGAUUGUUGAAAAAUGCAUCAUGUUGAGAUAAACACAUAUUUAUAUCCAUUUCUUUGAAUGGGUGUGUGAUAAAGGGACAAGUCUGCAGAUGAUUUUUGAGUGAUUUCUGGGGUUGUUGAUACGGAUGUGAAGAAUAGCGAGUAGCACAUUUCAGGCAAUUUUCCCCAGUCCUGUAGGUUACUGAGGGAGGUGCUACUGAACUGAAUUGUCAUGUGAAGCACUACAGCAAAUUAUGUUAGAUUGCCUAGAUUAUUCUAAUUCCCUAGAGCAAGUGCACUGUGCAUUGUAGGAGGCAUAUACUUUGCAAUACACCCAUCUUCAAAAGGAGAUCCAGGGUUGAGGCAUUGAGACUCAAUACCAGAGCCUUUGAUGGUUGGAGUUUUCCAAGGUCUUAGGUUCAAAAACAGUGGGUCAAUGAAGAAGGCUUCUGCUUCCCCUGUUG